rnacentral:rRNA from 1 species
AUGAUGGUACCUUGACAAGAGGCACCUGCUAACUCCCUGCCAGCUCCCCCGGUAAUACGAGGGGGGCACGCGUUGUGUCGGAAUUAGUGGGGGUAAAGGGUGCGUAUGUGGCUCGUUAAGUGUGGUGUGAUAUCUGCCGGCUUAACUUGAAGUCUGCAUGACAAACUGCCGGGCUUGAGGAUGGGAGAGGUGAGCGGAAUUUCGCGUGUAGCGGUGAGAUGCCUAUAUAUCUGAAGGAACACCUGUGGCGAAGGCGGCUCACUGUCCCCUUACUGACACUGAUAGCACCUCAGCUCAGGGGAGCAAACAGGAUUAGUAUACCCUGGCAGUCCUAGCCCUAAACGAUGAUCUCUUGGUGUG